rnacentral:rRNA from 1 species
GGAUCAGUACGCUGGUCGUGCCUCCGGUAUGUACUGGUGUCACUGAUUCCUCCCUUCUGAAGAACCAUCAUGCCAUUCACUUGGUGUGGUGGGGAAUCAGGACUGUUACUUUGAAAAAAUUAGAGUGUUUAAAGCAGGCUCACGCUUGAAUACAUUAGCAUGGAAUAAUGAAAUAGGACGUUGAUCCUAUUUUGUUGGUUUCUAGGAUUGACGUA